rnacentral:lncRNA from 1 species
UAUAUGAUAGGAAAAAUCAUAUAGCCACUAGAGGGAGCUUUGACACAAGCCAGGAAAUUAUCCCUACUGUAAAGAAUCCUUACAGGAGUGAGGAGACCAAUUACCUUGAUCUGGAUCAGCAAUAAAAUUAGAUGGUUUGGGGGAGAAGAAAUUGACCAAGUUUACACAAUAGGAAGAAUUUCCCUACCUGAUGAGCUAAUAUUCAGCAAGGGAGGCUACAAAAAAAAGGCUAGCCUGUUCCCUGGUGCACCUGCUUCUGCUACUGAUCCAAACUGCAGAACAUCUCCUUCAUCCCCAAGGCCUCCAGGCAAUGUCCAAUGGGGAAUCUGCUCUAAAAGGAACCAGAUCAACGUUUUCCAGCCCCUUCAUUCUGGUGAUUGAUGGAAGAGUGGGAGGGGGGGAUACACUUGUACACUAGUGGAUAGAUCUGCUACCAUAUGUAUCGUGUAUGGGGGAAGUUUGGAGAUGUCAUUUUUAUUAGAAGUGACUGGAGGAGAAUAAAUGGAGGUGACCUAGGAGUCA